rnacentral:rRNA from 1 species
CGCGUAGGCGGUCUGUUAAGUCCGAUGUUAAAGACCGGGGCUCAACCCCGGCACGGCGUUGGAUACUGGCAGGCUUGACGGCUGGAGAGGCGAGUGGAAUUACCAGUGUAGCGGUGGAAUGCGUAGAUACUGGUAGGAACACCUAUGGCGAAGGCAGCUCGCUGGACAGCACGUGACGCUGAGGCGCGAAAGUGUGGGGAGCAAACAGGAUUAGAUACCCUGGUAGUCC